rnacentral:rRNA from 1 species
UACGUAGGGUGCAAGCGUUAAUCGGAAUUACUGGGCGUAAAGCGUGCGCAGGCGGCUUUGUAAGUCUGUCGUGAAAGCCCCGGGCUCAACCUGGGAAUUGCGAUGGAGACUGCAAGGCUUGAAUCUGGCAGAGGGGGGUAGAAUUCCACGUGUAGCAGUGAAAUGCGUAGAGAUGUGGAGGAACACCGAUGGCGAAGGCAGCCCCCUGGGUCAAGAUUGACGCUCAUGCACGAAAGCGUGGGGAGCAAACAGG